UGCUGGUGUUUUGUGAGUGAGCCUAGCAUAAGGAUACUGAAAGGUCACCUUGGAGCCUUCCCUUCUCCGGCUGCACAGUCCAGCUCUCAGCCUGUUCUCACAGUGAGGUGUUCCAUCCCUGGGCUCAUUUUUGAGGCCCUCCUCUGCACACUCUCCAACAGCUCCAUGUCUCUCCUGUACUGAGCACUCCCCAUCUGGUCACAGUGCUCCAGACACUUUAUUAGAUUAGAGAGUUUUGACAGAGGGCUGAGAAGAACAAGUUACCACAGACAAACAAACAAUUUCUGGUGCUCAUCUGUCUACAGCAACUAAUCCAGACCUGCAGGAAAGCCACCUCUCAUCUGCACAGCCAAGAUCCACCUGGACUGGUAACAAGUGGGAAUAAGCUGAGGGCGAAGCUUUCCUGAUUUAGAUCACUGCUUCAGCUUCUGGCUUUGCAGGAAGGAAACAGAAGAGAGUCAUUCUGGGUCCCGUUUAUCUGUACUGGGUCACUAUUUACAAAUGAAUCUCUUCAUGCUCACAAGCAGGCUGCAAAGUACUAAAGAGGGAUGCAAAUUGAUUGAGCCCCCAGGCUCCCACUGUGCACUCUCUCUCUGAUACUAAGCCACUAAUGGCCUAUAGAGAUAACGUAUGCACAAAUCAAGAACUGUGCUCAGACACUGAAUGGCUGAGCUGCUGAGCCCCAAGCUGUUACUGGUGAAAAAUAAAUUUUGCAGCAAGAAAAGGAGACAACUCAAAAAAAAAAAAAAAAAGGCUGGGACAAGAGGAAGGCAAAAAGCUGCUAGAGCAGUGGAUGAGCAGCAGAUGUUGAUGGCUAGAUAUCAAGGGGCAUCUUGAGGGUAUCAAAGCAAGAAUUUCAUUACAAUCAUCUCCAUCAUAAGAGAGAGAUACUCAAGCAAUUACUUAAGGAGGGCAAUCAAAUGAAAAUUAUCUAUUUCCAAACUUGAGAUACAUUACAAUAAAAAGAUUGUAAAUGCAUGUGAAAAAACUGCCACCACUGCAGAGCUACUUAAAAUGAGAGUUACAAUAAUAACCAAUCUUCCUGCUUUCAGAAACAAAGCAGGGAUGGGCUAAGGUUAGAAAGAAAUGCUUUGGAUUUUUAUAUAUAAGAAAAGCCCUCUCUGUUAAAAUAAGCUUGGUGAGCCAGAAGAGACACGGUAGAGAAAGGAGUAGUUGUCUCAAAUACUUGGAAUCCCCGUUUGCCCAAAAGUUUUAAGACCUUGCAAGAUCUAGCCUCUAUCUAUACAACAGCUUGGGAAAUAGCAUGUUUAAAACCACCCCAACAAAGAUGUAAUGGACAUUUUCUCCUUACUGCUUGAACAGCCUGCCUCAGACAGCUUCCCACACUACUUCCUAUUCCAGCUUAUUCUUCUCCCUUUUGCCUUUCCCUCUCUUCUCCGCACUUAAAUUCCAAAAUUCUUUUCCAUUUUUCCUUUUACCUCACUUUCUAGCCUGCCAGCAUCUCUACCCAUGACCAAAAUCCGUCUGUUUUUCGAGGUGACAAUUCUCAACCUUUCUAUUUGGCAGAAUUAUCAUAUUUGACUCCUCAGUAGGAUACUGGGGUCUUUGAAAAAGGGAUUGGGCCUUUCUGUUUACAGAGUGUCUGAGCAGGCCUUUUGAUUGCCGCAGUAAUGCACAGGUACGAUAACUCUGGGCCUACUGAAAGUUGAUUAUAUUUAUUUUAUAAAAAUAUACCUCAUUUUACUUGCAGGUCAGCCGCAGCAUUUUGUAGGAAAGAGCAAGACUAUUGAUUUGCAUCAAUCAUCCUUUCUGCAACUUGAAAGAGUGGGCAAAUGCCUUAUGCCUGGCUACAUGCCAGAGCUUACGAAACAUCCGAGAUCUGAAAGUAGCAACAGCUUCUUACUUUUACUAGCAUAUGCAGUCCCUUGUGGUAGCUCACCUCUUAAACUAAAAAGCUUUUCCAACUAUGCUGGCCAAAGGUCAUUUCAUUCACUCAGCAGAAGAGUCAGUUCAUCUUUGCAUGGUUUCAAAUUCUUGGUAUUUCACAAAACUAUAGGCAGCAGUAUAGGACUAGCUUUAUCCUCAAGUUACUGCCUAGGGAUCAGGCCCAGAUGUCAGUCUUGACAGAACACAGUCUGUCAAAAAUACAUAAUUAAUGCUGGUGCAUAUGCAGAGAUACUUACAGAGGGACUACCUAUUUUUUUUUUUUUUUAAAUCAGCAAAACUUUGCUAGUGAAAAUGUGUGUAUUUUAUUCAGUAGAAACUCAAACUCUGGAGAUUUAAAGCAAUUAUCUCACUACUUGCAACUCUCAAGAAAUCUGUAGAAAGAACUCAGGAAUAGAGCAGACACCAGAUGAGCAAAUCUCUCAAAAAUUGGAGGUCUGUGAUCUUCUAACUCAAACAAAAACACUACAGUGAGCUCUUCUACUGAGCUGGUAACAAUGUAUUUUAAAAAUAAAAUAGGAAUUAGCUUAAAGAAAAGCCUUAGAGAGCUUAUUCUGUAAAGAAGAGGUAUGUAGGGAUGUAUAUACUGAGAGAGAGACAUCACCAAAGUCAUUUCAGUGGCCUCAGCCAUGUUCAGGAUUUUGCUUUGCCAAUUGCUGCCAAGUGUAGAGUUUUGGAAGUAAAAAAUUGACUAACUGUGAAAAGGACAUCACUAAAAACAUCAUAUGGAAACCUAUCUCAGCCGUCUGGAAGUAAUGAGACACACAUAAAACUCUCUAAUGACAUUUCUUCCAUAAAUUACAGCUAUCUACCAAGAGUAUCUAUCACUAAUUAGGUUUUUUCCUAGUAUUUCAGCUUCACUACUUACUUUUAUAAGGAACAUAUUCACAUCACAUUUUAGUGAUGAGAUAGUAUAAGUUGUUUAACAAACCAAAUAGUAAGACACCAACAAGUUACAACUGCAUGAGUGUUAUAUAAUAAAUUCCUGUGUUUCUGAUACUGCUUGGUAGUGAAAACAAUGUGGGUUCUUUUGCUGUUAAAUUAUUCCUGGUAUUUUUACUUAUUAUUUUUGAAGGUAUCUUAUGCACUGAAGAAACCUGACUUCAGGAUUGAGAACAAAAAAUACACUGAUCUAAGUAAUUUCUACAGAAAACAUCAGAAUUGUAAAUUGUAUUUUUUCACUUGAAGAGCAUAACACACACUUAACUCAUAACAUUUAAAAUGUUUCAUGAGUUUGAAAGUACCAUUAUGGAAAAAAUAUCGUUAAAACAUAAGCAUAUAUUAGUAGGUAAAAUUACAGCUUAGUGAUUGACGUGUGUAAUAUGUUUUAAAUUCAAGCUUAGAAAACAACGGUGGUUGUAUAGAAGAAAAGCUGGGAUCGUAAGGGUAUGGACACCAUGUUCGAUGUAAUUAAGAAGCAACCUAUCAACACUAAGUUGGUAAUGCCAUCCCAUCUGCCAAACCCUGCA